rnacentral:rRNA from 1 species
UGGGGAAUAUUGCACAAUGGGCGCAAGCCUGAUGCAGCAAUGCCGCGUGAGUGAAGACGGCCUUAGGGUUGUAAACCGCUUUCAGCAGGGAAGAAACUGACGGUACCUGCAGAAGAAGAUGCGGCCAACUACGUGCCAGCAGCCGCGGUGACACGUAGGCAUCAAGCGUUAUCCGGAUUUAUUGGGCGUAAAGAGCUCGUAGGCGGUUCGGUAAGUCGGGUGUGAAACUCUGGGCUCAACCCAGAGAGGCCACUCGAUACUGCUGUGACUAGAGUGCGGUAGGGGAGCGGGGAAUUCCUGGUGUAGCGGUGAAAUGCGCAGAUAUCAGGAGGAACACCAGUGGCGAAGGCGCCGCUCUGGGCCGUAACUGACGCUGAGGAGCGAAAGCAUGGGUAGCAAACAGGAUUAGAUACCCUGGUAGUCCACGCCGUAAACGGUGGGCGCUAGGUGUGGGGAUCGUUUCCACGAUC